rnacentral:tRNA from 1 species
GGGGCGUUAGCUUAAUUGGCAGAGCAGAGCCCUUUUAAGGCUUUGGUUAGAGGUUCGAGCCCUUUACGCCUCG